rnacentral:sRNA from 1 species
CCAUAGAUGGCGCAUUAUUCUAGUCAUCACAUUGUUACGAAGACGAGGGUAAAAUAUCGUUAAAUAGCAUAUAUAUAAAGCGUCUGGUGCUUGCUUAAUAUGCCCAAUGUUGGGUGGGCGCUGAACGUCAUGAACUUAUGGGUGACCGUAACGGCAUACGGCAACCAUUCCAUAUCUUCGAUUUACAUUAACCUAUUUUCUUGCUACAGCUUGGAAUAGAGUAGCUUGGCUUGAGUGGUGUUAGGGAAUAGAGACAGCUUUUAAGAGGGUGUACAUUUUCUUAAAAGAAUCGCUACUUGAAACUAUCACUGCAAAAGAGCAUUAGUAACAAUAAGUGAUGUUUGAGGAAAUCUUCUAGAGUGUCUAUUACAGUAGGAUUGCAGUGCGUACUAAGUGGUAAUCAAGUCAUAGAUUAGGUGACUAUCUGUCUGGCCUUUUAAAAGGGAACUGCAAAGUGGUAACGCUUUGUAAGGCUGGGGGAAAUCCAACUUGACCUAAGACGCAAAGUUUACUAUGGUAAUGCCAUUUUUUUUAUU